rnacentral:rRNA from 1 species
AUGGCGAGCACGGCGGCGUCGAAGAAGGCGGCGAACCGGCUGGUGGUGGAGGAGGCCACCACCAACGACGACAACUCCGUCUGCAAUCUCCACCCCGAAACCAUGGAGAAGCUCUCCAUAUACAAAGGCGACAUCGUGCUGCUCAAGGGCAAACGCCGCCACAACACGGUCUACGUGGCACUGCCCGACGACACCUGCGAGGGGCACAAGCUCAGGAUCAACAAGGUGGCCCGCUCCAACCUGCGCGUGCGCAUCGCCGACGUCGUGUCCGUGCACCUAUGCCACGACGCCAAGUUCGGCAGACGCGUGCACAUCCUCCCUUUGGACGACACCGUCGAGGGCAUCGCGGGGAACCUCUUCGACGCCUACCUCAAGCUCUACUUCCUGGAUGCCUACCGCCCGCUCCACAAGGGCGACCUCUUCCUCGUCCGUGGCGGCAUGCGGAGCGUCGAGUUCAAGGUCAUGGAGAUCGACCCCGCGGUGGAGUACUGCAUCGUGGCGCCCGACACGGAGAUCUUCUGCGAGGGCGAGCCGGUAAAGCGGGAGGACGAGGAGAGGCUUGACGUCAUCAGCUACGACGACGUGGGUGGCAUGGGGAAACCGCUGACUCUCAUCAGGGAGCUCGUCGAGCUGCCACUCAGGCAUCCGCAGAUCUUCAAGAGCAUUGGCGUCAAGCCUCCCAAGGGCAUCCUCCUCUACGGCCCUCCCGGGUCAGGCAAGACGUUGAUCGCCCGUGCGGUGGCCAACGAGACCGGGGCCUUCUUCUUCCUCAUCAACGGCCCAGAGAUAAUGUCCAAAAUGGCCGGAGAGAGCGAGAACAACCUGAGGAAGGCCUUCGAGGAGGCUGAGAAGAACGCGCCCUCCAUCAUCUUCAUCGAUGAGAUAGACUCCAUCGCGCCGAACAGGAAGAAGACUCACGGCGAGGUCGAGAGGUGUAUCGUCUCCCAGCUGAUGACGCUCAUGGACGGCAUGAAGGCCCGUGCGCACGUCAUUGUCAUGGGUGCAACGAACCAUCCCAACAGCAUCGACCCUGCCUUGAGGCGCUUCGGGAGGUUCGAUCGCGAGAUCGACAUCGGCGUGCCGGACGAGGUCGCGCGUCUCGAAGUGCUCCGCAUCCACACCAAGAACAUGAAGCUGGACGAGGGCGUCAACAUAGAGGUGAUUGCCAAGGAUACACACGGCUACGUCGGUGCCGACUUGGCCGCGCUCUGCACCGAGGCGGCUCUGCAGUGUAUCAGGGAGAAGAUGGACGUGAUCGACUUAGAGGACGACACCAUUGAUGCCGAGAUCUUGAACUCCAUGGCCGUCACCAAUGACCACCUUAAGACGGCUCUCGUCGGCAUGAACCCCCUCGAGGGCGUCAAGAGGGAGCUCCAAGAGACCGUCCAGUACCCGGUCGAGCACCCAGAGAAAUUCGAGAAGUUCGGCAUGUCGCCGUCCAAGGGCGUCCUCUUCUACGGGCCACCAGGGUGCGGUAAAACCUUGUUGGCGAAGGCGAUCGCCAACGAGUGCCAGGCCAACUUCAUCAGCAUCAAGGGGCCAGAGCUGCUCACCAUGUGGUUCGGCGAGAGCGAGGCCAACGUGCGUGAGAUCUUUGACAAGGCCCGUCAAUCUGCGACGUGCGUGCUGUUCUUCGACGAGGUCGACUCCACCGCUACCCAAAGGGGCGGCAGAGUGGGCGAUGCCGGCGGUGCGGCGGACAGGGUCCUGAACCAGCUGCUCACCGAGAUGGACAGCAUGAACGCCAAGAAGACGAUCUUCAAGGCCUGCCUCCGAAAGUCUCCCGUGGCCAAGGACGUCCACCUCGGCGCGCUGGCAAGGUUCACCACCGGCUUCAGCGGUGCCGACAUCACGGAGGUCUGCCAGAGGGCGUGCAAGUACGCCAUCAGGGAGGACAUUGAAAAGGACAUGGAGAGGCAGAGGAUGGGGAAAGACACCAUGGAGGUGGACGGCGGGCAGGAAGACGAGGUGGCUCAGAUUAAGGCAGUUCACUUCGAGGAGUCAAUGAAGUAUCCGAGGAGGAGCGUGAGCGACGCCGACAUCAGGAAGUACCAGGCCUUUGCGCAGACGCUGCAGCAGUCUAGGGGGUUCGGCACGGACUUCCUCUUCCCGGCGCAGACACAGGCGGCAGAAGCUGCCGUCCACACCUCAGCGGCAGCUGAUGAGGAUGAAGACGAUUUGUACAAGUGA